rnacentral:rRNA from 1 species
UGAGGCGAACCUGGGGAACUGAAACAUCUAAGUACCCAGAGGAAAAGAAAUCAACCGAGAUUCCCCUAGUAGCGGCGAGCGAACGGGGAUUAGCCCUUAAGUCUAUGGGGUGUUAGUGGAAUGUGUUGGAAAGCACAGCGGCACAGGGUGAUAGCCCCGUACACGAAAACUAACCAUAGAUGAAAACGAGUAAGGCGGGACACGUGACAUCCUGUUUGAAUAUGGGGGGACCAUCCUCCAAGGCUAAAUACUCCUGACUGACCGAUAGUGAACCAGUACCGUGAGGGAAAGGCGAAAAGAACCCCUGUGAGGGGAGUGAAAUAGAACCUGAAACCGUAUACGUACAAGCAGUGGGAGCGGUUCUUGAGACCGUGACUGCGUACCUUUUGUAUAAUGGGUCAGCGACUUACGUUUUGUAGCGAGGUUAAGCGAAUAGCGGAGCCGUAGGGAAACCGAGUGUUAACUGCGCGUUUAGUUGCAAGGCGUAGACCCGAAACCCGGUGAUCUAGCCAUGGGCAGGUUGAAGGUUGAGUAACAUCAACUGGAGGACCGAACCGACUUAUGUUGAAAAAUGAGCGGAUGACUUGUGGCUGGGGGUGAAAGGCCAAUCAAACCGGGAGAUAUCUGGUUCUCCUCGAAAGCUAUUUAGGUAGCGCCUCGAGCGAAUACCAUUGGGGGUAGAGCACUGUUAAGGCUAGGGGGUCAUCCCGACUUACCAACCCUUUGCAAACUCCGAAUACCAAUGAGUACUACUCGGGAGACAGACGGCGGGUGCUAACGUCCGUCGUCAAAAGGGAAACAACCCAGACCGUCAGCUAAGGUCCCAAAGUGUAUGUUAAGUGGGAAACGAUGUGGGAAGGCUUAGACAGCUAGGAUGUUGGCUUAGAAGCAGCCAUCAUUUAAAGAAAGCGUAAUAGCUCACUAGUCGAGUCGGCCUGCGCGGAAGAUUUAACGGGGCUAAACAUACCACCGAAGCUACGGGUUUGCAGUUUACUGCAAGCGGUAGAGGAGCGUUCUGUAAGCGGUUGAAGGUGAAGGGGUAACCCACACUGGACGUAUCAGAAGUGCGAAUGCUGACAUGAGUAACGAUAAAGGGAGUGAAAAACUCCCUCGCCGAAAGACCAAGGGUUCCUGUCCAACGUUAAUCGGGGCAGGGUGAGUCGACCCCUAAGGUGAGGCCGAAAGGCGUAAUCGAUGGAAAACAGAUUAAUAUUUCUGUACCUCUGCUAACUGCGAUGGAGAGACGGAGAAGGCUAGGCUAGCGCGGCGUUGGUAGUCCGCGUUUAAGGUAGUAGGC